UCCACGCCCUAAACGAUGCUGACUAGUUGUUCGGGAAUUUAUUCCUGAGUAACGUAGCUAACGCGUGAAGUCAGCCGCCUGGGGAGUACGGUCGCAAGAUUAAAACUCAAAGGAAUUGACGGGGACCCGCACAAGCGGUGGAUGAUGUGGAUUAAUUCGAUGCAACGCGAAAAACCUUACCUACCCUUGACAUGCCACUAACGAAGUAGAGAUACAUUAG
rnacentral:rRNA from 1 species